CUCUAGAAGUGAAAUGCUGUCUGGAUCUUGUCUGACAUCAGAUUUUAGCUGCUCAGCUCAGGUUUCUUUAGUAGUAAAUAUGUAUAUAUAUUUUUAUGAUGCACCAAAUGUUUUUAACAGAUGACAAGUUAAGACUGCAGGAAGGCCAGUUUUGCAUUCAGACUAUUUGGAGCCAUGCUGUUGCAAAAUAUGGUUUGGCACUGUGUUCAAGUAUGACGGUCUUUCCUGAAAAACACAUUGUCUGAAUGGAAGCAAUACACUGCAUCUUAAUCUAUUUAUUGUUUGGCAUUGUUUAGCUUUCCAGGAUGUGUAAACUACCCAUGCCAUGGACACUUAUGAUGCCAACACCACCAGGGAUGCUGGCUUUUCAGCUUAUCCUGAUAACAAGCCAGGUGGUCUAUUUCCUCUAUGGUCCAGGAUGCAGCGUCCAUGAAUUUAUAAGAAUAUCAGUUUUUGAUUUGUCACAUCACAGGACAGUUUUCCAUGUUGCCUCAGUCCUUCCAGAGAUUGCGAAUGGACUAUGUUUCUAUAGCGCUUUCUCUAGACCUCUGACCACUCAAAGUGCCUUUACAUUACAUGUCACAUUCACAUACUGGUGGUGGCAGAGGCUGCUUUGUAUAGAGCCCAUCAGUUUUGGACUGAUCCCUUCAACAUAAAGCUAGUGGGGGCAGGUGGGGUCAUGUGUCACUUCAGCAUGUGAAAGCAGGACUAGGGGAUCAAACCACUGACCUUCUGAUUGGGAGUUGACAGACUUUACCACUGAGCCACAGCUGCCAGCAUUUCUGGAUGAUGAUAACGUUUAUUACCUUAUACCACCAAACCAGUUUAAACUUAAAUUUGUAGAUGCAGAGACAAACGAUGCAGAAAAUGUUUUUGGAGGUGAUUUUGAGCCCAUGCUGUGAUUUCCACUACAGAGUUGUAUUUCUCUUUUAAGCAGUGCCACCUGAGGGCACGAGAGAUCAUAAAUAUCCAGUAUUAGUUUUUUAUCUUUGUUCUUCUUCUACAGAGAUUUCUUCAGAUUUCCUAAACCUUUAAAUGAUACGAUACACUGUAGAAGCAUUUUCACACUGAAAAACAUUAUUCUAAAAUAGCAGAACCACUUGCUCAUACUUGGCUUGUAU